AUUGAAACUGUGCCUGUAGAUGAUCGGGAACCCGGUGAGAUUCCGGGGCGGCCCCGCCACUGUAACCGUGACGAAAUCCUCUGUAUCACUGGAGCGAUCCGGGAAGAUAGGGAAGUAGGAUGAACGGAAGUCAGGAGACCGGUCUACAGGAGCAACCGUAG
rnacentral:ncRNA from 2 species